rnacentral:lncRNA from 1 species
AGGUCCUCAGUGCCUGGUUGAGAUUCAGUGUACAGUCAUGAGGCACUUUUACAGGAAGGCUGACCCUAGACAACCCACAUCACCUCCUACCUUCCCACCCUCCACUGGCUUCUGAGCAGUGGGGUCACAGUGGAAAAGAGCAUAGGCUGUGGAAUAUGGAGAUCCGAGAUUCCACCUUUGGCUCUGACAUUUACUAUCUACAGGAUCUUAGGCAAGACAUCAGUGACACCCUUGGAUGAGUGAUUGUUAGGACAUUUCCAACUUUCCGACUCAAUGAGAUGUACAAAGGAGCUCAACAGAAUCCUCAUGCAGCUGCAGACUUUUCUGCUCAUGGAACAGGCAGGAGGAGGCCCCUGCUGAAGGACCCCAGACCCCUUUAGGAAGAACUUUGUCACUAUGUCUACCAGAUGAAAGCAACAGCACAAUAUGUGUUACAGGCUACAGUACGA